AACCCAUGGUGAGGACACCUUUUUAAUAAGCCUUGUAUCUCUCCCAUGCAUCAUACAGAGUUUUUAGAUCCAUCUGCACAAAAGAAGAGAUAUCAUUCCUCAAUUU
rfam:Gossypium arboreum cultivar AKA8401 contig_100866_1, whole genome shotgun sequence.